GAGCAGUGAUGACAGAACUGUGGAACGGAUAAAAACCAUGAAGGUAUCUACACUUGACCUGAGCUCA